GAUGAACGCUGGCGGCGUGCCUAAUACAUGCAAGUCGAGCGAACAGACGAGGAGCUUGCUCCUUUGACGUUAGCGGCGGACGGGUGAGUAACACGUGGGUAACCUACCUAUAAGACUGGGAUAACUUCGGGAAACCGGAGCUAAUACCGGAUAAUAUUUCGAACCGCAUGGUUCGAUAGUGAAAGAUGGCUUUGCUAUCACUUAUAGAUGGACCUGCGCCGUAUUAGCUAGUUGGUAAGGUAACGGCUUACCAAGGCAACGAUACGUAGCCGACCUGAGAGGGUGAUCGGCCACACUGGAACUGAGACACGGUCCAGACUCCUACGGGAGGCAGCAGUAGGGAAUCUUCCGCAAAGGGCGAAAGCCUGACGGAGUAACGCCGCGUGAGUGAUGAAGGUCUUCGGAUCGUAAAACUCUGUUAUUAGGGAAGAACAAACGUGUAAGUAACUGUGCACGUCUUGACGGUACCUAAUCAGAAAGCCACGGCUAACUACGUG
rnacentral:rRNA from 1 species